rnacentral:rRNA from 1 species
CCUGGCUCAGGAUGAACGCUAGCGGCAGGCUUAACACAUGCAAGUCGAGGGGCAGCGGGAUGUAGCAAUACAUUGCCGGCGACCGGCGGAUGGGUGCGUAACGCGUAUGCAACCUACCUUAUACAGGGGAAUAACCUUUCGAAAGGGAGACUAACACCCCAUAGUAUUGAUUUAAGGCAUCUUAGAUUAAUUAAAUAUUUAUAGGUAUAAGAUGGGCAUGCGUAUGAUUAGCUAGUUGGUAAGGUAACGGCUUACCAAGGCGACGAUCAUUAGGGGUUCUGAGAGGAAGGUCCCCCACACUGGUACUGAGACACGGACCAGACUCCUACGGGAGGCAGCAGUGAGGAAUAUUGGUCAAUGGGCGCAAGCCUGAACCAGCCAUGCCGCGUGCCAGGAAGACGGCCUUAUGGGUUGUAAACUGCUUUUACAUAAGACUAACCGUAUAUUUGCGAAUAUACCUGAAUGUAUUAUGAGAAUAAGGAUCGGCUAACUCCGUGCCAGCCGCGGC